rnacentral:rRNA from 1 species
UACGGAGGGGGCUAGCGUUGUUCGGAAUUACUGGGCGUAAAGCGCACGUAGGUGGAUUGUUAAGUCAGGGGUGAAAUCCCGAGGCUCAACCUCGGAACUGCCUUUGAUACUGGCAAUCUCGAGUCCGGGAGAGGUGAGUGGAAUUCCUAGUGUAGAGGUGAAAUUCGUAGAUAUUAGGAAGAACACCAGUGGCGAAGGCGGCUCACUGGCCCGGUACUGACACUGAUGUGCGACAGCGUGGGGACCAAACAGG